GACGAACGCUGGCGGCGUGCUUAACACAUGCAAGUCGAACGGAAAGGCCCUGCUUUUGUGGGGUGCUCGAGUGGCGAACGGGUGAGUAACACGUGAGUAACCUGCCCUUGACUUUGGGAUAACUUCAGGAAACUGGGGCUAAUACCGGAUAGGAGCUCCUGCUGCAUGGUGGGGGUUGGAAAGUUUCGGCGGUUGGGGAUGGACUCGCGGCUUAUCAGCUUGUUGGUGGGGUAGUGGCUUACCAAGGCUUUGACGGGUAGCCGGCCUGAGAGGGUGACCGGGCACAUGGGGACUGAGAUACGGCCCAGACUGCUACGGGAGGCAGCAGUGGGGAAUAUUGCACAAUGGGGGGAAGCCUGAGGCAGCGACGCCGCGUGCGGGAUGACGGCCUUCGGGUUGUAAACCGCUUUCGCCUGUGACGAAGCGUGAGUGACGGUAAUGGGUAAAGAAGCACCGGCUAACUACGUG
rnacentral:rRNA from 1 species